AAACUACCGCAAAGAAAUAUAUGAACCAUUUCUUACGCUCCUCCUUGCUACAAGUUGCUCUUGUCCAGUUUUGAAAAUGUCCCUUCAAAGUACCGGGAACGGACCACUGUCUGUCAAGAUGAACUAACCAUGCGCACCACAUCUGCCAACCUAUCAAGACAAACCAAGCAAACAUCUCUACUCUUGGAGGAACUAAGCCUUUCCAGAUAGUCUUGGUGAAACUAUAACUUGUUACGUCCUCCGAAAGCGUUUCCUCCUACAAUACCUGCACAAAUGAGUUAGUAGAAAAUACACUUUGUCUGUCAAACUUCCACACAACUCUAUCCUCUCUGUCAGCUGCUAGAUUUACCAGCCUCAAAGUGUCAUGUAGUUGACUUACAAGUUCCAACUCCUAUUGGAAUAAGUCACGCCUCCAUUGGAAGUUUCAAAUCCACUCUAACUCAUCCCAAAACCCGCGGUCCCCGAUGACAGAUCCUUUCUAUAUUGAAACCGAGAAGAGCCUUGGAAACCUAUCCUUCAAAGGACCACAAAAUAGUCAGACAUCCUCCCAGAAUCGAGUUCUUCUACUGUCACCAAUUUCCAUAGCCAAUCCGGUUAUCAUCUUGUCUCUUACAUGCUGCUCCUUAAUCUGUAGUUGACAGAUAUCCUUCCAUGAACCCCCUCUAGUAGACAAAUUUUGAAGUGGAGGAAACACCAUUGUAUGAGUCUUAGAAUUAAGGAGUUUCGGACGAUGAAAAUAAUGAAUUUUGGUGUUAUGAUUAUGUUUUUUUAUGUUGGAAUUGAAGAGUUUUAGAUGUAGAGAUAAUAAAUUUUGGAUAUCUUGGAGUAUUAUGUUUUCCGGGUUGGAAAUGAAGAACUCUGAAUGUUAGAAAUAAUGAAAUUCGGAUGUUAA